rnacentral:lncRNA from 1 species
AGAUGAUUAUGUUAGUCUUUCGAAACAAGUAGUUUCUACUACUGGAGGACUUCCCUUGGCUCUCGAAACCAUAGGCUCAUUACUUCACCGCCAAAACAAAGGCUUAUGGAUAGGUGUACUGCACAAGCUAAGGGAAAUAACUCAUGAGAAGGUCCAAGAACCGUUAAAGAUUUGCUACAAUGCCUUGAGUCAUGAGCAAAAACAGAUAUUUCUUGACAUCGCAUGUCUUUUUGUGGAUGAAGACAAGACAAAUGCAUUCUACAUGUGGAAAGAUUGUGGGUUUUUACCAGAUUAUUCAACUCAAGUCCUUGUCUGCAUGUCCUUGAUAAAGAUAACUGAUGACAACAAAUUCUGGAUGCACGACCAAUUGAAAGAUCUCGGGAGGAAAAUCGUCUGUGAAGAUACAAGGCUGAUGGAUCCAAAAAAGCAGAGCAGGUUGUGGAUUCCUGAGACAGCCGUUAAAAUCAUUAGAACAGAAGAGGUGAGACCAUAUGUUUGACUGUCGAAUUCCAUGCUUCUCUUGAUGGUUCAUUUAUUAAUUGGGAGCCCUUUUUAAUAGGCCGAGAGAGGAUGAAGACUUUUUUCAUUUAUUCUUAUGCUGCCUUACCAUUGAAUGACAGAGAAAGGAGACCAUUGAAGCAGUUUGCUUGGAAGGAAAUGCACAAGAAAUCUAUAAAAGCGAAGAGUUUUCAAGACUUCCAAACAUAAGGUUCCUCAAAUUACGUGAGCGAUACUUUGUUGGAGACUUUAAGAAGCAGCUUUCAGGGUUAAGAUACUUGUCCUGGAAUAGGUGUCCUCAUCAGCUCUUGGCCAUCAAUUUUCAUCCAAGCAAUCUUGUAGUUCUCAACUUGUCUUAUAGUGCCAUCGCGGAGGACUGGGCUGGAUGGAGUCAAAUUAAGGUAUAGUAUGUUGCUAUUUGUUUAUCUAGAUCUCAAUUGAUUAUCGCUCAUAGAGUUUUUUACUUUAAUUUUUGGAACUCCUAUUGACUAUAAAAUAACUACAUAGACUAUAACACGUUGUAAAUAAAAUACGUUGUAAAUGGAGUAAUCAAGUCCUUUCACAACUAACACUAAGCUGGUCUCAUAAUCACGGCCAUUUUCGAUUAUUAUGUAUUCUGGGGAAGAAGUUGAAUUGAUAUAUGGGUGGAUAUGUGUUAAUCAAGUUGGAUAGGAGUUCAUACUAAAAUGAUUGGGUCUAUGGGGUUUAAAAGGCAAAAACGAGUCAACCCAACUAUAACUCAGUUCCAACAUAACCAUUCAUUGCCUCUAAAUUUGCAUGGAAUUUCGCCAUUACUCUGUUUUAACUAUUGUAACAGGUUGCCAAGAAGUUGAAAGUUCUGGAUCUCUCAAACUGCAACAACAUGACUAGGACUCCAAACUUUUCUGGUUAUUUGAGUUUAGAGAGAUUGAUCCUAAAAAAUUGCAGAAGACUGAUUAAUGUUGAUGCUUCCCUCGAAAAGCUUAAGUGCCUACUUUUCUUCAAUAUGGAUGGGUGUACAAAUCUUACGGAGUUGUCCGAAGGAAUGGGACAGUUAGAGAAACUCGAGUACUUGUAUUUAGGCAACUGCAGAAAGUUGAGGAAGCUACCUGAAUCAUUUGCGAGAGUGGCAUCACUGGUAGAGUUGGAUCUCUCAUAUACAGCCAUCACAAGAUUACCUGUCUCCAUUGGUAACCAAAAGCACUUAUCCAUUCUUAAACUGCAAUCAACACAAAUCAAUGAACUUCCUAGUUCUAUUGGAAAUCUAAGGGAACUUAAGUCUCUCUUUCUAUCGGGUACUAAAAUAAAGGCACUUCCUAGCUCCAUUGGGAACUUGGAAUCGCUACUCGAGUUGGAUGUCUCGGGAACACGAUGUUUGUGGUUACCCGAAUCUAUUGGAGGCCUAAGUAGAUUGAAAGUCAUCAAUAUUUCGAAUUCUUGGAUAAGGGAGUUACCGAGGAGUAUUGUCAAGCUAAAAGAGUUGGAAGAACUACAGGGCAGGGAUUGCCCGUCUCUAAAGUGGGAAAUUCCUGAGGGCAUUUCUGAAUUAUUGCUUUUGAGAGUCCUUGACUUGCAAGCAACUCGUAUAAAUGUUCCAGCGACAAUCCAACUACUUCCUCAGCUAGAGAAAUUGAGUUUAUGGCAAUGCAGGAAACUCAAAGUAUUGCCUAAACUUCCCACAAGCUUGAUAAGCCUAAGCUUUGGAUCCAGUUUGUUCCAGUAUGUCCCAGAUCUUUCAAACCUAACUGAAUUGGCGGAAUUGAACUAUGGUGGUCAUGAUGAGAACUGUCAUCCUUUGUUCGUCCAAGAUGGACCAUGUCGACAAUCUCUUGUGUUCCUUCCACCAUCUCUGUCAAUAUUGUCACUCGAAUAUCAUGAAUUAAUAACCAGUUUGUCAUUUCAUUGCGACUUGAGAAACUUGACUUGUUUGCGUAUUUAUCAAUGUCAUUGGAAGGAAGUUAAACUUGAUGGGCUCAAACAAUUGAUUGAAUUCGAAGUGGAGGGGUUAAAACUCCUCGAGAGAUUUGCUGGCCUUUCAAGGUUGAAGAGGUUGAAACUGUGGAAGCUGAUUGGUUGCCCAAAUCUAACUGCGAUCCAAGGUCUUGGUUCCAUGGAGUCGUUGGAACAAUUGGAAGUAAAAGAAUGUCCUAAGAUGAAAAGUCUAGAUGAUCUAUCGAAUUUGAAAAAGCUGGAGUACUUGGUAAUUCGAGGAUGCAAAGAGCUUCUGGUGGUUAAGGGACUGGAUGAACUGGAGACUCUCAAAAGAUUGGAUUUUAACCGUUGCAGGUCAUUGGAAAGUUUUUCUAAUGUCUUCAACUCGAACAUACGAGACAGGUGCUGCAUAACCAUUUUCACUGCUCAAAGUUAGUAGAUCCUUCGUAUGGAGGCCUGGUCAGCUCGUACAAGCAAUGGAAAGACCAAGAAGUGUCCAACAGAGCUCGUAAUCAGUCCAGCCAGAAUUAAUUGAGAAAUCUUUCUGCAGACGUUUGAAGCAAAUAAGAUCUACCCAAGCGAAAAAAUGAUUGAUCCGAAGAUCGGUGAUACUUGGAUGUUUCUUACUAGUUAUCUCCUGGGAAGUGGUUUUCAGGAUGGACUCCAUAAUUUGUGAUCUGUCUUUAAUCAUGAGUGUUCAUCAUAAUUUGGUGUGUUGUCCUUUCCUUUGAGUUUGCACUACGUGCAUUUUCGGUUGAUCAAGUCCCGUCGAUCAAACCAGGCAUUUGUUGACAUUUUCAUUCAUAGAUUUCUUGUCAUCCUAUUAUCAUUUUUGUGAAAAUUUAUGUAAUGCUUUCAACAAUGUUUUCAGUUUUCACCGCCUAGAAAGGCAUACAAGUCUUUUAAAGGCUAAAAAUUCAAAUUUAAUUGAUGAGAAUUGAGCAACAUUUUAUUUAUAUCUUCACUAUUUUCUCAGAAAUAUCUUCGAUUGUGGUAUAUCAGCAAAAAUCAAGGUCAAUAUCAGUCUGUCGGUCAAUACCGUAUCCAAUGACUGCAGACAAUGGGAACNNNNNNNNNNNNNNNNNNNNNNNNNNNNNNNNNNNNNNNNNNNNNNNNNNNNNNNNNNNNNNNNNNNNNNNNNNNNNNNNNNNNNNNNNNNNNNNNNNNNACAUGAUAAAAAUCAAAUUGUCAAAAUCAAAGUCGAACCGAAAAAAUCAGACCAUCUAAAUUGAAGGACUCUAUAGAACAGAGUGGUUAUCAUGUUGCAAGGUCAGUGUCUCGAGCAAUAACAUUCAAGUCGGACUAGCAACUUCCUAAUUGAUCAAUGGUGUGAGUAAAUCUAUCUGGAGGUCAACGAGGUAAAUCAUCGAACAGGUGACAUACAUUACAGUCGAGGGACUUCAGCGCACAUUUAAAGAAAUGAUUCACUUUUAGAUCAUCAAAUCAACAACAAUAAAAGUUCAAAUUAUCAAAAACAACUUCAAUCGCAGUUGUCUAUAUAGCUCUCAGCCUCUGCCUCGCGUGAAGAGCAACGGAGACAGAGCAUAGACGAUAAUUACCUUGAAAUUGCUGACGUCCACCGCAAAGAGCGAUCGGAUCAAAGGGAGACAUCAUCCAUGACGACGAGGCUGAGGAUCAUAGAUGACGACCGAUGAACGAAUAAUCUUCAAGCACUUCAGAAUCCCUUGGCCGAGAAACAGGGGCGAACAGAGGAAUUAACACCGUGGCCGAACCGGCGAUGGCGGAACGGCUACGGCGGCUGUUGCUGGCGGAUACGGGAUC